UACGAAGGGGGCAAGCGUUGUUCGGAAUUACUGGGCGUAAAGGGCGCGUAGGCGGCUUAUCAAGUCAGGCGUGAAAUUCCCGGGCUCAACCUGGGGGCUGCGCUUGAUACUGAUUGGCUUGAAUGCGGGAGAGGAUAGUGGAAUUCCCAGUGUAGAGGUGAAAUUCGUAGAUAUUGGGAAGAACACCGGUGGCGAAGGCGGCCAUCUGGACCGCAACUGACGCUGAGGCGCGAAAGCGUGGGGAGCAAACAGG
rnacentral:rRNA from 1 species